rnacentral:rRNA from 1 species
CAACAGCGAUAAGGGAACCUCGAGUGCCAGGUUACAAAUCUGGCUGUCGAGAUGCCUAAAAAGCAUUUCAUAGCAAGGGCCGGGCAAGACCGGUGCCAGCCGCCGCGGUAACACCGGCGGCUCGAGUGGUAACCGUUAUUAUUGGGUCUAAAGGGUCUGUAGCCGGCCGGAUAAGUCUCUUGAGAAAUCUGGCAGCUUAACUGUCAGGCUUUCAGGAGAUACUGUCUGGCUCGAGGCCGGGAGAGGUGAGAGGUACUUCAGGGGUAGGGGUGAAAUCUUGUAAUCCUUGAAGGACCACCAGUGGCGAAGGCGUCUCACCAGAACGGACCUGACGGCAAGGGACGAAAGCUAGGGGCACGAACCGGAUUAGAUACCCGGGUAGUCCUAGCCGUAAACGAUACUCGCUAGGUGUCGGCCACGGUGCGACCGUUGUCGGUGCCGUAGGGAAGCCGUGAAGCGAGC